UAGCAACCAAAGCCUCUCAGCCAAAAAAACCCGCUGCGCCUCCAAAGCUCACCCUAGCACUCCCAGGUGGGCGUUUUCAGAAGAGCAGGUGGUGUUUUCAGCUGGUAAAAAAUGCUUUGGUGGACACGUGCCCUAACAGAAAAACUGCAGUCACACAUUUACAAGCCUGUAAAGAGGUCACUAUACAAGGAAGGAGGACCCAAUGACUACCCCCCAAAGAGGGGAUUUCUUUUAGAGAGUCAUGGAGCAGGAAGCCCAUCACGCACCCCAUGUUUUUAUCUACAUGGACUUGGCCAAAACACGCCGGCGAGGUUUGAAAUUGAUUGGCAAAAGAUCUACAGUUGGUGUCCCAGGCCAAAGGGGUGCCAAUAUUACCAUUUGUGCAGCGUGCUGCUACACGGAUGCAAGAGACUGGGUGGACUUUUGAGCAAGCAAUUACAGUACUGACUUUAGUUUUCCUUGCAAUUUUAUUCACUGCAUUUUAUUUUUUAAUUACUUGAUGGCAAAGAUAAAGCACAGCGAAGCUUUUCCUGUUUUCCUGUUCUACUCUGUUGUACAUUGUAUAAAGACUUUUACCAUUCUUACUGUA